AACGAACGCUGGCGGCAGGCCUAACACAUGCAAGUCGAGCGCCCCGCAAGGGGAGCGGCAGACGGGUGAGUAACGCGUGGGAAUCUACCCAUCCCUACGGAACAACUCAGGGAAACUUGAGCUAAUACCGUAUACGCCCUCCGGGGGAAAGAUUUAUCGGGGAUGGAUGAGCCCGCGUUGGAUUAGCUAGUUGGUGAGGUAAUGGCUCACCAAGGCGACGAUCCAUAGCUGGUCUGAGAGGACGAUCAGCCACACUGGGACUGAGACACGGCCCAGACUCCUACGGGAGGCAGCAGUGGGGAAUAUUGGACAAUGGGCGAAAGCCUGAUCCAGCCAUGCCGCGUGAGUGAUGACGGCCCUAGGGUUGUAAAGCUCUUUCAACGGUGAAGAUAAUGACGGUAACCGUAGAAGAAGCCCCGGCUAACUUCGUGCCAGCAGCCGCCGUAAAAC
rnacentral:rRNA from 1 species